rnacentral:lncRNA from 1 species
GAAGAAGGAAACUCAACAUGCAUGGUUCUCAUUAGAGGCAACCAGACCAUUGUUGAAAAUAUUGAUGAUUCCUGUUGUGUAUUCUCAAGGAAUGGUCAGGUUUAGUACUGUAAGUAUUUUCUUGUUCAAUAUAUUUGGGUGGUGCCCAAAAUGCAGAGGUGAAAAGCAAGAAACAUAAAACUACCUCUGAAGAAAAGUUCACCACGCCUCCCAGAAUGUCACCCUGCUUAGUUGAACGGAAGUUUAAUGAUAUUUAGUUUAAGUGGAAAAUUGAUCAAAUCAGAUCAUCUAACCUUUGUAAACUAGGCAACUGAAUCAUCUCAUCUCGACAAAGUUCAGUACAUGGUGAAGAUAUUAGAGUUUGACUAAUUCUCUUGAAAAAUGAAUCACCUCUCACCUCUCAACUUGCAUCGCGGGGCUAACAAAAUAUAGGUACAUGGUGAAGCCAAGUGACACUCUUAUUUUUCUUUCAUACAGGACCGAUGCGGUGCGUAGAAGAAAGGUGCUACUUUCACUUAGUUCUCUCAGUUCUAAGUUGGGACUGCAAAAAUUUGAGGAUUUCCCCACAUGUGAGUUGCCUUGAUUAGUUUUGGCUUAGUUAGUGAAAUGAACUGGAAGUAACUUCUGAAUUUGUUUGACUUUGGACUUGCUAGAGACCUGAAGUUUCUGCUUCUAGCAUUUCUCUUUUGUAAGCAGCAUGGCAAACCCGGUUUCAAAGUAAAGACCUGAGGAAGAAUGUGGAUUGAUCACUGUGAUUUCAAGUCCUUCAGGUGAUUGAUCACUGUGGUAAUUCAUUCUUUUGUCAAAAUUUGAUGACAAUUGGGGUUGGAGGGAAGCAACAAAAUUCCUAUCCUGUAAUAGACGUUUUUGGUGUGUGACUUGAUAGUUGUUCACGUCGAUACAAAAUUUCAUUCAUGUGGUUUUUUAAGGCAUUUGAAUUUAACAUUGUUUUUAUGAUUGUCUAAGAGCUGGAGCUGUUAAGACUUGAGACAGAUAUAUACAGGUAACAGGGGCCUACAAGAUCCAAUUCAUGUUAGUUACCUAUAACUCUGUACCUAAAUGCAUCUUUCAUAAUGUUAUUUCUGUAAUUUAUAGAAGUAAACAAAUUCCUUACAGGUUUGACAGUUCGUCAAAAUAAACAAGUAGUAUUGAUGGGUAAAGGUGGGUACUGAUUUAGUAUGAACAAGUCUGCAUGUUUUAGAACUUCUGUAUUUUCUGAGUUUUCUUUCCUUCAUGCAUUUUCCGAGCUUAUGUAUUUUUUGAGUUUUAGCAAGCUGAAAAUAUGGCGCUUAUUCAGAAAUGUUGGCAUAUCAAUAUCAUGUGCUUGCAUAUGUAGUAUCCAGAGAAAAAUGAUGUGCAAUGAUGAAUCCUGACAAUCUACACACACAUCACUGUAUUUUGUUCACUUGCUUGCUAUUUCUGGACUAUUAUUGAUGGAGCAGCAGAAGAGGCUUUUAGUGUUAUAAUAUAUGUUCGACUUAUAAAUUCAAUAGCUGAACAAAACUUUCAAAAAGAUUACUUUGACUGACUAAAGUAUGGACAUAUAUACCGCGUGUUAUCGUUUCUUCUUCUUCUUCACUUAACUACAUGUGAAGCUGAAGCUGAGCCAAUGUGCUUUUCCAGAAGAAACUGAGGCACAUCAAUCAAACGCCAACCCACCUGCUAUUGGCACUAAAUGAGGAAGGAAAAAGAACAUUGUCCCUGAAGGCUCGAGACACACAAACAGGAAACUGAGUUUGGGAAAGGUGGUUGUCUCCUUGAUGCACACCAUGGUGCCCUUGUCUACUCUCUGUCUUCUUCCUUGCACAGGUAUUUUAUUUCAAGAUUUCGUAAGUGGUCCGCACUGACAAAUGAAAUACGCAAAAAAAGAUACUUAUGUUGUUUUGUUCUUGCAAACACCUUAUUUACUGGUAGUAGGUUCUCUCAUAGCAUUUUUCGGUGGAGUUGUACUGACAUCUUUGACUGAAGUUUCUUUCAACUGGUUAGUUAUAAUCUUCCCAUUUCUGAAAUUUCAAAGUCAAAUGAUUGGGGAAUGCAUCACACUAUCCAUUAGUUCAGUCAAGCUCACAUUAUUGGCAAUUGAGUUAAGUCUUAUAUUUAUAUGCCUGUAACACUCAAAACUUUCUAAAAUGAGAAGUGAUAUGUUAAUUUUUGAAGAGACUGUGAUUAUGUUACAAGCAUAUACAUCACUGGCAAUGCGAAAAAAAUAUUAAUAAUACAUUUUCCCGUUAUUUUAGCUAAAAUAAUGGAGCACAUUUUAUUUUAUUUUAUUUGCAAUCUGAAGCUUGGUUGUACUUCAGUCUCUGGCAAUUGGUUUAUUUCUUGUGGUCAAUUUUGGAGCAGAUGAUGGGUUGUUGGUUGUAGUGAUUUGAUAUUUUAAUGACUAUUCAUAUCAAUGAUUAUGCUUGGCCCCAUGAGAAACACACGAGGUAGAAACGAUUGUGAGAUAGGGAGGGGAAUAGAAAGAUGACGAGGAGAUGCAUUUAUCUACCACAUCACAAGCAUGAAAUAUCAUCACAUGUCAAUUGUCUAUGACUCCCAUAUCAUAUAAAUAGAAAUCCAAUAUUUUUGUUUCUUGUGAAGUUGGUUCACUUUAUUCCCUUCCUGUUAGAGUUGAUGCUUGAGAUCUAGGGCCCAAACAAUUUGUGACCAUAGACUGCUCAGAGUUGUCCUAUUUGAUCUUCAAGUGCAACCCUUCCAUUGUUCUAUUGCAUCUCUGAGCCAUAUUAGCAUACAUUUCUAAUCAACAAUGAACUACCGGAUUUACUUCAUGUCAGUUGUUACUAUCUCUUAGAAAUUCUUUCUGCAUUCAUCAUAUAAGCAAUUAAAUUCACUAUCAGCAAAGUUCACUGCAAGUUUGCUGCACAAUUUUUAUUUGAUAGAUACACGUGAGAUUAUUAUUUUUCUUUACGUUUGUUGAAUAUAUGAAUAAUUCGUUUGAGAACAGGGACAAAACAUGACAAGAAAGGGGAAGAACUAACCUACAUGGAGCUUGGUCAAGGUCGUCGCUCAUGUUUGAUGGCAUUGUUUCUGGUUCCACCGACGUUGUCGAUGCCUAUUACCUAUGGCCCCUUUGCUGCUUUCCUCGGUCGGGCGUGGUCCAUCAGCCACUGCAUGCAGACAAUAGAAUUUAGGCCAGCAAUUGUCGCUUAUCUACGCUACAGAUCGACCCAUAGACAGGGAAAGGAAGCGAUGGUUGGUGGGGAGAGGAGCCGGGGGACGUGUUGUGACGGGACAAGAGGCGCAGUGGCAGGAAGAGAAGGUGAAGACUACGCCAUGUGAGUUGCUGAUGUUGUGCCUUAUGCGGUGGGGAUAAGGGAUGUGUGAUGUGCUUGUGUGGUGAGAGGCGAGGAGUGGCUUUUCCUUUUUGCGGGAGGCUGUUCAUUUUUGUCUAUUCUAUUUUUAUAUUCAAGAUACAUACAAUAUUUAUCAUCAUUAUAAUCGAGAUAAUAAAUAGUUAUUUAUUCCAUUAAUGUGUUGAGUUAUUUUGUUUUUGAUUUUAAU